UGUGGGUGGCUCCAGGGUGAGGGCCCAACGGGCAGACGCCUGCCUGAAUAGAUGGGGUGUAGAUAUGUGGCAUAUAGAGAUAUAUAUUUUAUAAUGGGAGGGGGGAAUGGCACCUCCUGGGACUGGCAGGGCUGGGAGGUGUGCUGUCAAGCACAUGGUCCCAUGUUCGCAUCCCUAGAAAGAUAGGGCCUAUGGUGAUAGGCGCUAUAUAAAUACAUAGAUAGGGUCAUGUAUAAGAAAUAUUAUGUCGUGGGGAGUGGGGGAAGGAGGCUCAGAAGGCUGAGUCUCGGGCCCCACUGCAGACAAGCCCCACACCAAUCAAUCAGUCCCACACACACACACAGGAACAUGUUUCUAUACCGAUGCAUAACAAAUGCACGUGCACACACACACACACACACACACACACACAGCCAGGGAGCUCCCAGUGCUCUUCUCCCCAGGAUUCAGGACUUUGCGGAGUCGGCCCUGCAGCUCUUUACCUCUGUUGCCCUGUUUGCAGGUAGACUGUCAAUCCCAGAAGUUGCUAGGUGCUGAAGACAGGAAAAGGAGGAGGUUUUCUUUUAGCAGGUGCUCUCCUCUAGCAGACGAUUUCGCUUUGACCCCGGCGGGAGAGCACUUUGACUGCACAUUCCACGCAGCUAAAUGCAGGACUUACUCCCCGACCCUUCCCUUCCCGGCCCUCUUUCCUUUUUCUUCAGUUCCUCUUCUGACUCUUUGUUGUUGUUGUUGUUUUUUUUUUCUUCCUGGUUCCAGCAUCCUUUCACCACUGUAUUUUUUUUUUUUUUUUUUUUAGGGUUGCUUCUCUAUUUAUUGACAAUAAUAAUGUACAUUUCACAGUCUGGUUCUGGGACAUUGGGGAGGGGGUGUGAGAAGGCCCUGCGUGGGUCCCCACCGCCAUGCCCCCAUGUCCUGUUGUAUCUCUGUGUAAGUGAUGCUCGUGACAUAGCUGUUAUGAAAUAAUUAUAAAGAGGUCAGUGCGUACAGCAGAUGUAGAAAGUCUGUCAAUUCCGCCUUCAUCACAUUUUUUUUUGUGCCCAGAAGAAUAUAAUAAAGCUCCUUUCUAAUGUACUUGUGCUGGAGAACACUUGAAUAAAUGGACUGUUUUUGUGCAAAAAGAAAAACGGAAAAA